GACGAACGCUGGCGGCGUGCCUAAUACAUGCAAGUAGAACGCACAGUUUAUACCGUAGCUUGCUACACCAUAGACUGUGAGUUGCGAACGGGUGAGUAACGCGUAGGUAACCUGCCUGGUAGCGGGGGAUAACUAUUGGAAACGAUAGCUAAUACCGCAUAAUAUUAAUUAUUGCAUGAUAAUUAAUUGAAAGGUGCAAUUGCACCACUACCAGAUGGACCUGCGUUGUAUUAGCUAGUAGGUGAGGUAACGGCUCACCUAGGCGACGAAACAUAACCGAACUGAGAGGGGUGUCGGGCAAACCGGGACCGGGACACGGCCCAGGCCUCUACGGGAGGGAGCAGGAGGGGAUUUUCGGGAAUGGACGGAAGGCUGACCGAGCAACGCCGGGUGAGGGAAGAAGGGUCUCGGGACGUAAAGCUCGGUUGUAUGGGAAGAACGAGAGUGAUAGUGGAAAGUGCACACUGUGACGGUACCUUACCAGAAAGGGACGGCUAACUACGUG
rnacentral:rRNA from 1 species